rnacentral:rRNA from 1 species
UACGUAGGGGGGCAAGCGUUGUCCGGAAUCAUUGGGCGUAAAGCGCGCGUAGGCGGCCCGGUAAGUCCGUUGUGAAAGUCAAAGGCUCAACCUUUGAACGCCGAUGGAUACUGCCGGGCUAGAGGGUGGUAGAGGCGAGUGGAAUUCCCGGUGUAGCGGUGAAAUGCGCAGAUAUCGGGAGGAACACCAGUAGCGAAGGCGGACUCACUGGCCCGGUACUGACGCUGAGGUGCGAAAGCGUGGGGAGCAA